rnacentral:rRNA from 1 species
CACGUAGGGUGCAAGCGUUGUCCGGAAUUAUUGGGCGUAAAGGGCUCGUAGGCGGUCCGUCACGUCGGGAGUGAAAACUCGGGGCUCAACCCCGAGCCUGCUUCCGAUACGGGCGGACUAGAGGUAGGUAGGGGAGAACGGAAUUCCUGGUGUAGCGGUGGAAUGCGCAGAUAUCAGGAGGAACACCGGUGGCGAAGGCGGUUCUCUGGGCCUUACCUGACGCUCAGGUGCGAAAGCUAGGGGAGCGAACAGG